ACGAACGCUGGCGGCGUGCUUAACACAUGCAAGUCGAACGGAAUCCAUGGUGUAGCAAUACACCGGAAGAUUUAGUGGCGAACGGGUGAGGAUCACGUGAGAAACGUGCCCCAGACUCUGGGAUAACAAUUGGAAACGAUUGCUAAUACCGGAUGACGUCGGAGAAUCGCAUGAUUCACUGACGAAAGAUAUUUCGGUUUGGGAGCGUCUCGCGGCCUAUCAGCUUGUUGGUGGGGUAAUGGCCUACCAAGGCAACGACGGGUAGCUGGUCUGAGAGGAUGAUCAGCCACACUGGACUGAGACACGGCCCAGACUCCUACGGGAGGCAGCAGUGGGGAAUCUUGCGCAAUGGGCGAAAGCCUGACGCAGCAACGCCGCGUGCGGGAUGAAGGCCUUCGGGCUGUAAACCGCUUUCAGCAGGAACGAAAAUGACGGUACCUGCAGAAGAAGGAGCGGCCAACUACGUGCCAACACCCGCGGUGACACGUAGGCUCCAAGCGUUGUCCGGAUUUAUUGGGCCGUAAAGAGCUCGUAAGCGGGUGAGUAAGUCGGGUGUGAAAACUCUGGGCUUAACCCGGAGAC
rnacentral:rRNA from 1 species